CAAUCCCAAACAGACCUCAGGCGGUGCUAGGUUACCCCCCCUACGCACUGGAGAGCUAAAUAAAUCUCGGAUCCCCCUUCUUUCGCCUCAUGGUCGAACGGAAUGGCUUCCUCGUCUUCGUCUUCUUCUUCUUCUGCGUGUCAGGCUGCCUCCGGAGUGGAGAACUCUAAGCUCGAACUCGUGAAAAAGAUACGAAGCCAUGAGGUCGCGAUCGCGGAAUUGAACAGUCUUGCGCCCUCCCGAGCUGUAUACCAGAAAAAUGGCAAUAUCUUCUUCCGUAAAAAUAAUAAGACAGCAAUAGCUUUUGAACAGAAACAACUUGACUUGGCCAAAUCUCAGUUACAAAAGCUGAAUGCUGCUUGAUGCCCUGCUGUUGUAAGAAUUCUAACCAAGGUUGGUGGCUUAAGGCAACUAGAGGCAACAAGACAAACAUGCAAUGCCUUUCCAGAUCUUGUACUAGGCAACCUCUUCGUAUAGCAAAGGGUCCCUUCUAAUCUCAUUAAAAUUAGUGCCAGUUUUUAAGUGGGACAUCCUCGAAGAGGAAAAAAAAGUUACAUGAUUCAGUGGGGCUUGUGGUCCAUAACCAGCAAUCUGCCAGUAUCUGUGUUAAGGUGGAACGUUGCAAACAUUUUUUUUUGUUCAUGCAUCUUUGUUGCUCAUGCUGGAAAUAUUUUGCAUUGAUAGUAAGGGAUUGUCCAAUAUCAUUUGAUGAUGCACUGAGUAUUAUGGGGACAGGAAGGCUUUGUUCACUGAUUGUGGUACAAAAUUUAGUAAUUACAGGAUCUCUAUGACUGAGGC